rnacentral:rRNA from 1 species
GCAACUCGCCUGCAUGAAGUUGGAAUUGCUAGUAAUCGCGAAUCAGAAUGUCGCGGUGAAUACGUUCCCGGGCCUUGUACACACCGCCCGUCACACCGUGAGAGUCGAUAACGCCCGAAGCCUGUGAGCUAACCGCAAGGAGGCAGCAGUCGAAGGUGGGGUUGAUGAUUGGGGGUGAAGUCGUAACAAGGUACC